ACGGUAAUUGCACAUGUUGGCAUUAAUUUUAUUCAUUACCCAAGAUUGUGUAUAUUAUGUAGUAUUAAUGAGAUUCAUAAUUUUUAUCAGUGCAUGUGACGUCAUGAGUCAAUGUGUUUGCCUAUAGCUAGCUGCUAGAAGUAAUAUCUUUAGCAACAAAAGCAGCUGGCUUAAGCAAGGUACAGUCAACAAGGCUGGAGACACCCCACUCUCUCUGGCCUGUGCUAAUGGACACUUGGAAAUAAUUAAGUAUCUCGUCAUCACACAUGGCUGUGCUACAAAUGAUUACCUGCUAG